UAAUGUAUAGGAAUCUACCUAGUAGUACGGAAUAAUUGUUGGAAACGGCAACUAAUACCGUAUACGCCCUACGGGGGAAAAAUUUAUUGCUAUUAGAUGAGCCUAUAUUAGAUUAGUUAGUUGGUGAGGUAAAGGCUUACCAAGACAAUGAUCUAUAGCUGAUCUGAGAGGAUGAUCAGCCACACUGGAACUGAGAUACGGUCCAGACUCCUACGGGAGGCAGCAGUGGGGAAUAUUGGACAAUGGGCGCAAGCCUGAUCCAGCCAUGCCGCGUGAGUGAUGAAGGCCUUAGGGUUGUAAAGCUCUUUCACCGGUGAAGAUAAUGACGGUAACCGGAGAAGAAGCCCCGGCUAACUUCGUGCCAGCAGCCGCGGUAAUACGAAGGGGGCUAGCGUUGUUCGGAUUUACUGGGCGUAAAGCGCACGCANGCGGAUAUUUAAGUCAGAGGUGAAAUCCCGGGGCUCAACCCUGGAAUUGCCUUUGAUACUGGGUAUCUGGAGUACAGAAGAGGUAAGUGGAAUUCCGAGUGNAGAGGUGAAA
rnacentral:rRNA from 2 species